rnacentral:snoRNA from 1 species
AGCUCAUUUCAAAAAGGUUUUGUCGGAUUGUGGAACGAAGACCUUUUAGGGCUGAGACCAAAAAAAAAAAUGAAAGUUUCUCCAGGAUGCUAUAAGUGCUCAAUAGUGACCUAUUUUCCUGGUAGGACAUGAAA